rnacentral:rRNA from 1 species
CCUACGGGUGGCAGCAGUGGGGAAUAUUGGACAAUGGGGGGAACCCUGAUCCAGCCAUGCCGCGUGUGUGAAGAAGGCCCUCGGGUUGUAAAGCACUUUCAGUGAGGAAGAACGCCUGGUGGUUAAUACCCAUCAGGAAAGACAUCACUCACAGAAGAAGCACCGGCUAACUCCGUGCCAGCAGCCGCGGUAAUACGGAGGGUGCGAGCGUUAAUCGGAAUUACUGGGCGUAAAGCGCGCGUAGGUGGCUUGAUAAGCCGGUUGUGAAAGCCCCGGGCUCAACCUGGGAACGGCAUCCGGAACUGUCAAGCUAGAGUGCAGGAGAGGAAGGUAGAAUUCCCGGUGUAGCGGUGAAAUGCGUAGAGAUCGGGAGGAAUACCAGUGGCGAAGGCGGCCUUCUGGACUGACACUGACACUGAGGUGCGAAAGCGUGGGUAGCAAACCGGAUUAGAUACCCCUGUAGUC